UCUCUCUAACUUCUCUCUAGCCUCCCUAAACCCCUCCCAAGUCUAGGGAACCUCCCUAUCACGAGAAGAAAGCCCCGGAGCGCCCGACGGCUCCGAGAAGAAAAGCUUUCGGCUCGGAAACGCUGCUCCAGCGAAGCCCAGUUUUUAAUAAAAACCCAUUGUUUUGGUCAAGGAAAAAAUUUGUUUUAAGAAGUAACGAAGAGCUGUCCGAGUGCCGAGUCACCACCUUACCAGGUAGUGGCGCUUGAGCAUAGAUAUGAUGUUGGACGAGGGAUUACGGAUAUAGGCCUGUAGAUAUGAAAUAAUGUAGUAAGGCUUAUAUUGUACUGUUUAUGCUUUUGAUCUGUACGAACAUGGCAUCCCAAGUCUUUUAAUGAAAUACAUUUCUACGGAAAUGCUUUUGAUAAAUCUUUAUCAUAUUUUGUUUUGGGACAAAUUCCGCAACACUUUCAUUUAAAAUGUUACUCUGAUUUUUAAACAAAGCAUAAACAAACCGGUCUUUUCUGGCCGUGAUUUUGGGGAUGUCACAAUCUUCUUCUCUUUAAGGUUCAUCAAUGGCAGACUCCUCUUCAGUUCACAAACAAAGUGCCCAGUUCUGUCUUCUCAUCAUCAAACCAAAUCAAAACAUGAUCAUCGAUCUCUCUCCUUUCCAAUAUGAUCCUUACAUGCCCCAAGUGGUUGAAUGUCACACCCCGACCCGCGGCGGAAAUCGUCGGGGUUGCGACAUUAUACAAUUGGAUCACAGUCAACCACAUAUAUCGAACACUUAAUAUAUUUAAAUCAAUAUAUUACAAACCUUAAAGUGUUGGAAUUGAAAUUACAUAUUCAUAGUUUAAACACACAACAGUAAAUAAAAACAGUUCAAGAUUAUUCCCAAAAGAAAGGAACUCUAUAAUUUCCUUAGAACCGAUGUCCUACCUCCAGCUCCUUAGUUACUUGAGAAUACACAUUUUUUUAAAAUACGUCAACAAAAUUUGUUGGUGAGUUCCACAGGUUUUGACUCCGUGAGUUUCAUAAAAAGAAAUCUUUAUAGAACUUGGAAUGUUUAACAAAAUAAGUUGUGCAAAACAGGGUCAAUAAUAUUACCGAUAUGCUUCGUGUGAGAACCGAUACUUGAAAUCUAGUAUGAGUACCCAUGUUACUUAUUUACAAUAAAAGUAAAUUUUAACAUAUUUUUGAGAAGCAAAAUAUUUAGUGUUUGUAUAGAUAGACACUAACAAUCGUUUUAACAAUCUACAAACAAUAUUCAUACUACAUACAACCUCAUCCCAGUGUAUCUUAGUAUAUUUAUUUCCGGGACUUUGUUAUAAUUCCCGAUUGUUUGGAUUUAAAGAUUUUUGGCUGUAAUGCUUAAAAAUGUAAAACUACCAAAGUUCUAACAGGACAACGGUCAUAUGUGUCCCUAUACGAGUUUAAACAUUACGUCGACUGUAAGUGACCAUAUAUAUGUUUAGACAGUACUCCGACUGUAAGUGAAUAACAAAGUUUAUACAACACCCCAGCUGUGAGUGACCAAAAUCGACAUAGUCCAAAUCAUCGUAUCUUAUGAGGUUUUCAACAUGAUCAUAUUAGAAAUACUUGCUAUAAUUUACACUUUUGUAACUAUUAAAGUAUGUGUGAACUAAACAAUAUCAUAAUUGGUGUACUUCUUAUUUACCACAACACUUUGUAUAUAUAUUUGAAAGUCCAAACAGCAAGAUAAAUCAAAAGGGCAAUUAUGUCCAUGUUUUUAUAAAAAUCAUAGAAAAAUCAUCGUAAAUCAAAAUCUGGAUCCGUAAACUCUCAGAGUUUAGAAAAUAAGUCUAAUUUGUCCAUAAUUUUUACCCUGACCUUAAGUGGUUCCUAACCUGAGUGAAAAUGUUCAUUUUUACAGACAGGUCCGCAAAUGUUCUGAAAUGAUAGGCAGUUUUGUAAAAAUCAUUAUAAAUUGUAGAAAAAUCGUAUGAACACGU